UGUAAAUGCUCUUGAUGAAUUUUUUUCAUAUUAGGGAAGUUAUUAAUUAUCUCUAAUUUGUUUUAAUUGGAACUCUUACAAUACAAAUAUGUAAGUACAUAUAUGUAAUUGCAGGUACAGAGCUACAGCCAUGCUUAGCAUGCCAUCAACCUCAUUGAAAUUUAUGUUGCAUAAAGGAUAUAAGAAAGUUGUGUUGUUUUCACCUUGCAAUGGCAAAGACAAGAUUUAGCAAAAUAAGUACAGCCUCCAAAGUUUUAUUCAGCAUAAAUAUAAUCAGGAUGAGAUUUUGAUUGGUUUCUCAUGUCAGGUGGUUUCUUUUACCCAAAUUUGUGUUGUGGACUUUUAUUAUUGCCCAUAAUCCAUCCUAUGAUCCUUGCUUGACACUUGAGGUUAGAAGAAAAGGAGAGAGCCCCCCUUUUUAAAAUUUUUUAUUUAUUCCAUAGCUAUUUUCAACCAGACAAGACUUGGUUUUUGGGCAUUAAUUGUAAGGCCAUGAAAGUUCUUAAAUUGAAGGAUUUGCAUUGGCAACUGCUUAUUCUUAACUUAAAUUUGUUAAGAUU